UAGCUCAGUCGGUAGAGCAGUUGACUUUUAAUCAAUUGGUCACAGGUUCGAGCCGAGC
rnacentral:tRNA from 1 species